GGAUGUACGCUGGAUAUGUCCAAAGCAGGGUGGAGGGGAGAGAGUGGGGGGGAUAAGAGAUCUCUCUCUCUCUCCUCCUGCUUCCGCAUGUGAAUCAUUUCUCAAGCAGCCGGUUGCUCUCUCUCUCUCUCUCUCUGUGGUUCUGCAAUGUGGUUUUCCUUCUGAAAAGGAGAAGCCCCAUCAGCCUUGCCUUCUCCGCCUGGCUCGCAGAUGCCGCUGGAGGGUGACGGGAAGACGGCGCUCCGGUGGAUGCAGAGCGCAGGGCAGCCCGGCCAAGCGUUCAAAAGGCUGGGUGUUCUUGGCAUCCGGUACAAAAAGCCACAUCAGGAAACCGAGAAGGGCCGUUUAAGAAGUCGUGAGACUUCUGGAAAAAAGAGGGCUGUUGUGAGCCUUGAAGUGGGAGAAGGAAGAUAGCCGAGGUCCAUCUCCUCCCACAGAGCUUAGCGAGGCGAAUUCUUCAAAUGGACAGUUCCCAAAAUCCACCAGUGAGCUGGCUGGUGCGUUUGGGGAGCUGAAGUCCAGAAAAGAAACGUUUCCAAGCAAGUAUGCACAGAAGAAAAAUAAUAAUAAUAAAGGAGGUGGGGCCAUCCAAAGGCCCCUUUCCAUCAGGCUCCUUGGGCUUUUGACCUCCAUGUGUGAGAAAUAUCAUAAUGUUUGCCGUA